rnacentral:ncRNA from 2 species
GCUUAAAGUUAGGAAACUCCGGUGCAAUUCCGGGACUGUGCCGCAGCUGUAAAAGGUUUACUUGAGUCAGAAUGCUAACUUAAGC